rnacentral:rRNA from 1 species
UACAGAGGGGGCAAGCGUUGUUCGGAAUUACUGGGCGUAAAGGGCGCGUAGGCGGCCUUCUAAGUCGAACGUGAAAUCCCCGGGCUCAACCCGGGAACUGCGUCCGAUACUGGAAGGCUUGAAUCCGGGAGAGGGAUGCGGAAUUCCAGGUGUAGCGGUGAAAUGCGUAGAUAUCUGGAGGAACACCGGUGGCGAAGGCGGCAUCCUGGACCGGCAUUGACGCUGAGGCGCGAAAGCCAGGGGAGAAACGGG